AUGAUGACCACUGCAGAAGUGGUUUCCAGAGCUUAGUCAGCGUGAGCGACCAUCGCGUCUGAAUGACUGGGCCAGAGAGUCUGCUUCCAGAAGAGCCUGUCCCCUCCAGUAUUUGUCCCGAAUCUUGAGACUGAGUGAACCGAGGACCGCAUGUUGCUGUGGGCAUCCUCCAGAGGCGGCUGCUUGGACAUAGACUUAAGCCAUAGAAAGUCUUUACCGCUGGUGGCAAUUACACAGGAUAUCAGGAUCCCAACUUAGCCCCCAGCCUUUCUCAGGCUUCUAUCGCUCCCACUGAAAAGGACGAGGACAGGCUGGCAGAUCAGAUUCUGCUGCGGGACGCGCAGUUUACCUCCAGCGUGGGAGAAGAGGAAGGAGUCCGAAUUUACUGACGAUGGAGCCCAGGGUCCUUUUGGCAAUGAUUCGGACACAUUGCUGCCUCAGAGACGAGGCCCAGUGAAACCAAGAAACUGCUCUCAUUACUCGAGGUUAAUAAGUCAAAAAGGGUUGGACAUGAUGGUGCACGCUUUUAAUCCCAGGAUUUAGGAGGCAGAGGCAGGAGGAUCGCUGUGAGUUCUUGGACAGCCUGGUCUUCAUAGUAAGUUCCAGACCAGUUGGGACAAUAUAGUGAGACUCUACCUCAAAAAUAAAUAAGAUGGGGUGGGGGGAGUUGAAAAAUGAGAAUCAGAGGUGAAUCGGACAAAAACAAAACCAUUAUGUACUGGCAUGGAAUGUCAGAUAAUAAGUUUUAAGGUAUUUUAAAAAGAAAUAAAAACGGAA